rnacentral:tRNA from 1 species
GCUCGGCUAGUUCAGUCAGUAGAGCAUGAAACCCUUAAUCUCAGGGUCGUGGGUUCGAGCCACACGUUGGGUG